rnacentral:rRNA from 1 species
GAUGAACGCUGGCGGCGUGCCUAAUACAUGCAAGUCGAGCGAACAGAUGAGGAGCUUGCUCCUCUGACGGUAGCGGCGGACGGUAGAGUAACACGUGGAUAACCUACCGAUAAGACUGGGAUAACUUCGGGAAACCGGAGCUCAUACCGGAUAAUAUAUUGACCCGCAUGGCUCAAUAGUGAAAGACGCUUCUGCUGUCACUUAUAGAUGGUUCCGCGCCUCAUUAGCUAGUUGGUAAGGUAACGGCUUACCAAGGCAACGGUGCCUAGCCGCCCUGAGAGGGUGAUCGGGCCCACUGGAACGGGGGCACGGUCCAGAGUGGUACGGGAGGCAGCAGUAAGGACUCUUCCGCGAUGGGCGAAAGCCUGACGGAGCAACGCCGCGUGAGUGAUGAAGGUCUUCUGAUCGUAAAACGCUGUUAUUAGGGAAGAAAAAAUGUGUAAGUAACUAUGCACAUAUUGACGGUACCUAAACAGAAAGCCACGGCUAACUACGUG